rnacentral:rRNA from 1 species
GCAAGUCGAGCGCUUCCCUUCGGGGAGGAGCGGCGGACGGGUUAGUAACGCGUGGGAACGUACCCUUUACUUCGGAAUAGCCACUGGAAACGGUGAGUAAUACCGGAUGCGCCCUUAGGGGGAAAGAUUUAUCGGUAAAGGAUCGGCCCGCGUUAGAUUAGGUAGUUGGUGGGGUAAUGGCCUACCAAGCCUACGAUCUAUAGCUGGUUUGAGAGGAUGAUC